rnacentral:lncRNA from 1 species
CUGUUUUGAGGUCUAUUGUUGGUCUUAUUGUAGUAAUUUCUAUGGGUAUGAUCGGUUGUCUGACCUUUUUUAAACUGAUGAGUUAUAAUAUACCGUCUGGAUAUCUUUUAUUUUUUAUCUUCAAAAAGGGGUCAAUCAGUAUUCAAAGUACCAAAUUGAAUUUUAAUGUCUUCACAAUCUGAAGGAGUUAUUCUCCAUGACUAUAGC